UUGAACGCUGGCGGCAGGCCUAACACAUGCAAGUCGAGCGGAUAAAGGGAGCUUGCUCCUGGAUUCAGCGGCGGACGGGUGAGUAAUGCCUAGGAAUCUGCCUGGUAGUGGGGGAUAACGUCCGGAAACGGGCGCUAAUACCGCAUACGUCCUGAGGGAGAAAGUGGGGGAUCUUCGGACCUCACGCUAUCAGAUGAGCCUAGGUCGGAUUAGCUAGUUGGUGGGGUAAAGGCCUACCAAGGCGACGAUCCGUAACUGGUCUGAGAGGAUGAUCAGUCACACUGGAACUGAGACACGGUCCAGACUCCUACGGGAGGCAGCAGUGGGGAAUAUUGGACAAUGGGCGAAAGCCUGAUCCAGCCAUGCCGCGUGUGUGAAGAAGGUCUUCGGAUUGUAAAGCACUUUAAGUUGGGAGGAAGGGCAGUAAGUUAAUACCUUGCUGUUUUGACGUUACCAACAGAAUAAGCACCGGCUAACUUCGUG
rnacentral:rRNA from 1 species